AAAUAAUGAAUAUGACUUGCAUCCCUUUGCAGAUAAUAUAUAAUUGUAUCAGAGAUGUGAUAUCUAAAAUGUUAAGCAGUCUCUUAAACAAAAUCAUCGGCAACUAUUUAUACGGGGGAAACUCACAGUGGAUGAUUUCUUGCAUGCAUUCCAUCUAACAUAAUUCUAUAAUGUUAUUUUAAAACUGAAUCUUAAGGUUAUUCAUUCCUACUCGACAAUAGAAACUUCUGCUUCAAAUUUCAUAUGUUGAAUUCUAUGAGUUUGUUUGAACAAGUCGACAAAUUUUUUCUUUUCUUUUUUUUUUACCUUUUAGAAAUACAAAAAUCAAAACCAAGUAUGAAUCGUGAAAUUUUGAAGAGUAAUUUCCAAAUGAAAUCCUUAUUAGGAGUAUCUGAAAACUAAAAUAUGGAAAGAACUUAAAGAUGUAUUGCUUUACAAAAUUUUAUUUUACUUUUUAAAAUAGAAAGCAUGCAGAAAACACUAUAAGUUAUAAUCAAU
rnacentral:lncRNA from 1 species